UUCUGUUCCAUUAUUUAAGCAAUAAUUUUCUGAAAGACAUCAAAAACUGAAGAUAACUGUAACUGUAAAGGUCAACUACGUUUGCAUGACCCUGUUUGAACAACAUCCUCCCAGCCAUCAUACCAGAUCCUGAAUGAGUUGAUCCACAAGCUCCUCUUCUUUCUUCACCUUCUUCUGAGGCUGCCUCUGCAGGGAUGAAGUGCACAUGUUGCUCAUGUUAUGAUACAGCCUUUUUCUACUCGUUCUCUCCUUCUCGAUCCUGUCCAGCAGGGGACUGGUCCUCCCAUCCAACAGGCUGUGAGCAAUGGAGACAUACUGAGGCUGAUCUUCUACCUCCGCAGAAGCGGUUCGACCACAGAUUAUUCCCUCCUUCUCGCUGCAGCCUGGAUCCUCUAGUUUUAAACUAGGUUUUCCGUCUCUCAGUCCUGAACGACCAGGAUCAUCCCUGGAGGAAGAGGAAGGCGAACAAACGAGUCGAUUCUCUUCUCUUCUGCCCUUUAGUUCUUGUUCCCAGCCUUCCCUAAAGGCAACAAGCUCGUUCGUAGCCAUGUCAUCCUUCAAAGUUCAAAUAAUGGCAGUUUAACUAAACAGAACACGAAACUAUAGGAAGCUCCGAGGGACCGACAGAAACCACCACGCCCUUCUUAAUAAACAAUCCGAAGAGGAACAAAGCAGCUUUAUAUUGGUUCCGCUAGUUGUUUUUAAUUCCUCCUUUAUAUGAUACUUAUUUUAUUGCUUAAGUUAGCAGUUGAAAAUUAGUAGUUAAACAUGUUAAUAACGAAGCAUUUGUUAUCUAUGUGGGAGAUUUAUUCAAAUUGUGAACUGCAUUUUUUUAAACACUUAAUAGGACACAAUGUUCAGUCUCCUUAAACAAAAGACUUCAAACAUUGGAGAUUGGAGUGUUUGGCACUGCAUCUUUUAUUUGGGAGAGAAGAUGAUGUAAACCCUAAACACCAUGUGACGUGGUAAUGAAUAAUAUAGCAGUUAGAGGUGGGGUGAGUCUGGGGAGCGCAAACACGGUUAAGGUUUGAUAAGGGAGCAAGAGGAGGGUUCAUAUAUCCUUCCCCAGAUUUAAGGAGGAAAGGGACAGCACGGCUGCUCAGUCAGCGGACAUGUGCUGGUUACCGAUAGACCAGCCUCUGCUGCGGCCGGGAGACUCCAGCUGUAGCGCGCCGCGCCGACGCUCCUUGGCUUGCUCCGUAGCUCAGCUGCUCGCGUCGCGGCUGCGGAGGAUCGGAGAUCAGCUGGAGAAGAGCUGGACAGCCGGGGAGACUGUGGGAGAGCUCGGCUGCGGGGAAAGAAAGGCGGUGAGCGGGUGCGGCCACUUCAAAGGCUUCCUGUGCCUCGCGGUGCACGUCACCUUACUUGUGCUGAUAAGCGCGAGGCGACACCUGUAGGGCGCGUGGGCUGCGUCUUCCGCAACAGAUUGGUGCCUUUAAAAAAAAAAUCACACAUGCGGAACAGCAAAUGGGCUUACAUCAUUUUCAUUUAAAGAAAGGGAUGCAAGAGGAUGCUGUCACUGAAGAACCGAGAUGUGCAAAGACAGAAGAGGAAUGAAGGCUGAAAGAUGUCAUGUUUCAGGGUUGAAGGCUGACUGAAUUGACUGAGCUUGUGCUGUGGAUGGAUUUGAAGUUUGAAACAGAGCAGUCUGCAGUUGUCUUGCCCUCCCCCUUCUCUCUCUCCUCCAUUCUGUCAUCCCAUUUACAAAACAAAACAGUGAUGUAAUCCUCCCCCGGUACCGGCGGAGGGAAAAGCUUACUAAUGGUACGCCUUUAAAUGUUUUCUUCUCCGAUGAUGCGAGUGCAUCAGGGACAGUUGAGUAAAACGGAUUUGACCUCACACAUACAGGCAGUAAUUACUACUGGAAAACUUUAAAAAUGCACUGAAAUACACCUGUUCUAAAGCUCCAAAAAUGCACUGUACUUUUCUAGAUAAGCUAAACUCUUUGUACACAUGUAAAUAAUGGACGAGGCCUUUUAUAGGUGUCUUUUUUUUGUUUUGUUUUUUGUUUUUUUUAGUGUUUGGAUCCUGUUUACAGAUUUGUGUAUGUUUUAUUGUUGAGGCUGUUAUGUAGCGUUUUACCUUAAACAAAAAUGCUGGACCUGUUCAUAAAAUGCUUUUAUGCUGUUUGUGAUUCCUAAGAAUAAGCUUUUCUUUUUCUGAUGUAAUGUUUUGUUUUGUAUCAACUGGGAUCUUUUUAUGUCAAAAAUUUCUAAUGAAUCUUCAACAGUUCUGAUAAUAAACAAUGAAAGCUCUUC